UACGGAGGAUGCGAGUGUUAUCCGGAUUUAUUGGGUUUAAAGGGUGCGUAGGCGGAUCGUUAAGUCAGUGGUCAAAUUGAGGGGCUCAACCCCUUCCCGCCAUUGAAACUGGCGAUCUUGAGUGGAAGAGAAGUAUGCGGAAUGCGUGGUGUAGCGGUGAAAUGCAUAGAUAUCACGCAGAACCCCGAUUGCGAAGGCAGCAUGCCGGCUUCCUACUGACGCUGAAGCACGAAAGCGUGGGGAUCGAACAGG
rnacentral:rRNA from 1 species